rnacentral:rRNA from 1 species
GACGAACGCUGGCGGCGUGCUUAACACAUGCAAGUCGAGCGGUAAGGCCCUUUCGGGGGUACGACGAGCGGCGAACGGGUGAGUAACACGUGGGUGACCUGCCCUCAGCUCUGGGAUAAGCCUGGGAAACCGGGUCUAAUACUGGAUAUGACUCCAUGACGCAUGUUGUGGGGUGGAAAGCCUUGUGCGGCUGAGGAUGGGCCCGCGGCCUAUCAGCUUGUUGGUGGGGUGAGGGCCUACCAAGGCGACGACGGGUAGCCGGCCUGAGAGGGCGACCGGCACACUGGGACUGAGACACGGCCCAGACUCCUACGGGAGGCAGCAGUGGGGAAUCUUGCGCAAUGGGCGAAAGCCUGACGCAGCGACGCCGCGUGAGGGAUGACGGCCUCGGUUGUAA